UACAGAGGGGGCAAGCGUUAUUCGGAAUUAUUGGGCGUAAAGGGCGCGUAGGCGGCUUUGCAAGUGACAGGUGAAAUCCCUCGGCUUAACCGAGGAACUGCCCGUCAGACUGCAUUGCUCGAGACCGGGAGAGGUGAGUGGAAUUCCCAGUGUAGCGGUGAAAUGCGUAGAUAUUGGGAGGAACACCAGUGGCGAAGGCGACUCACUGGACCGGAACUGACGCUGAGGCGCGAAAGCGUGGGGAGCAAACAGG
rnacentral:rRNA from 1 species